rnacentral:lncRNA from 1 species
CUGCCAAAUUUCACCAAAACCAAAUUAGGCAUCCAUUAGUGGCAGAUCAAGCCUAACCAGAUGAGCCAUUAUGCAUCACAACCAAUGUUCAUGAAGCAUCAGUAUUGUAAAGCUUAUCGGAAAGAGUAAGGCUUGGUUUGGCAACAAGAAUCACAAUUCCUAGGAAAGUUGAAUCAAGAUCAGUGGAAAAAAGCUGAGUUUGAGGUUCAGAAGGGUUGUGAGAAGAAUGUUAAAUCAAGGGAUAUAAAGGAUUCCAUUGGGAAACAUAAUUCCACUUGGAAUCCUUAUAUCCCUUUAUCCAAAUUUCCUAACACAAAUCCUCACUACUCCCAACUCAACCUUUCUUACACUAUCUCAACUCAACCUUUCCUAAGAAUCAUGAUUUUGUUGCCAAACCAAGCUAUAUUUGUCAAGCAAGUUGGACAAUCAUACAGGAAAACUGUAAUCUUGAGCAAAAUUUCACAGAUAAAAUUACCAAAGGUGCAGCCUUUUCCCAAUUAUGCUAAACGUGAGUAAGUAAAACCAAUUAAUCAUGUUCCAAAAUGUAAAUUUCCACCAAGAACAAUCCUUAAUUUUUAGCUACGAACAAAAGAAAAAAAGGAAGAAGCAGAAGCUAUACCUGG